GCCUUCGUGGUGUAGAGGUCGGCACGAUGGACGCGUAACCAAGAGGUCAGUGGUUCGAUUCCCGGCGAAGGCG
rfam:Stegodyphus mimosarum contig105637, whole genome shotgun sequence.